GGCUGGGAUAGGCUCCAGCAUCCCACGCGACCCUCAUGAGGAUAAUAGGUAGAAAAUGAAUGAAUGAAUGAUUUAUUCUAUUUCUAUGAUAUUGUUAAGGAAAAUUUGUUGGUCAGACUGUGGUGACCUCAAAGAUUCCACUGUACAAAUGAUGCAUUUUCAUUAUUCACGUAAAUCCCAAUUGUGAGUCGGAAUGAAAUGCAGCACCUACCUUUGUUGUGCCUGCUCGCCAGGUGGUAGGCUCUUGAUCUAUAAUGAAUGUGUGUUUGGGUGUAGAUGCUGUCCAGGUCUUGUUUCCAGGUAUCUGGGUUUAGGGAUCUGAGAAGCUCUUCCACGGUGUCAAAGGCAGCUAUGGUUCGAUCCAGGUCUUCCAAAGAGAGAGGAACCUCGGUGACUGCCACUGGUCCAACAGGACUGUCAUCCUGGGAAUCAAGUUUGACAGCUCUGAACAGAACAAAUUAGACCUGCUAGAUGAAGCCACAGCUUCGGUCUAAUUGAAGAGAUGGUGUACACAUGUGCAGGAGAACGUUGAGGAGAGAGAGAUCCUCACUCGGGUUGUAGAAUAUUGAAGGACGUUGACGCUCAAGAAUUUGGUCUCAAAAGCUUAGACAAGAUAAUGAGCAAUGUUCAGCCCCAUCUGUGACAUGAAAGAGGAAGCCAGACAACAUCUAUAAAUGGCUUUCUGCCUCUUUGCUGGCAUUUCUCUCCCCCCUUUCCCUCCUGAUUACAAUGUGGUGAACAUCAAAGGUCCUUUCUUUCUUCUUUCCUCAUCCUGACAAAAUGACAAAGUGAGUAAUAAAAUCCUGCAUGCGUGUUCUACCUGCACACGUUGUUCUCCGCCUCCUCCAGACCGAAGUGACUGUCGAAUUCCAGGUGGAUUGUACUUCCUGGCGGCGACACCAGUUUCCAUAACAGCUGCAGGUUCCGUGGGUACGAGUUGGGGUACCGUGGGCUGUGGAUGACUCCGCCCGCCGACGUGACUGUGAUGUUGUCGUAUUUCCGGUACAAGUCUGCAGUGAGUGAAACAGUGGUUGUUUGUUAGUAGUUCUACAUGUGUUUACAGUAUAUACAAAUAUUGUUUAGAAUAUUAAAGAGUGUAUUGCUCUUGGUGCAGAGAGCACUUUACUUUUUUUCCCCAAAAGAGCUGAGCCUGCAUAAUGUGGUUGCAUAAGCAGAUUAAUACCUUGAACAAAUGAGGAGUACCUGGUACACACACAGUUUGAUGGUCAAGCAGCAUCCUGAAGAUGGCUGACAGAGCUGUUUUUUUCAGAUGUGUGAAUUUGUAAAGAGAGAGUUGAAUGUGCUGUAUAAUCAAGGCAGCACAGUUGCAACCCCAGGAGGAUGAUGAUGAUGAUGAUGAUGAAGCUUUGGCCUUCUACUUUACCUUUUCAUAGCACAGCCCAAUCACUCUGACCAUUUUCCCAUUUCUCUGCCCCUUCCAGUUGUCUUCUUUCAUUUGGUCAGUGUAGUGAACAUGCUACUCAUCAAUCAUUUAUUCAGCACCGCACCUACAGUAGAUGAGCUUGUGGCUCCUUGAUUCAGGAGAGAUGUCUAUUUUCUCUUCUGCUGUCUCACUCGGCUGAUCAAAAGUCUGACUGGGUGUAUAGGCCCCUUUCCCCAAUAAAAAUGAUUUCACGCUGUAAGGUUAGCCAGGGACAAAUCCCUGUAUGUGUGAGUGUGUGUGUGUGUAGGCAGAUAGGUGUA